UACAGAGGGUGCGAGCGUUAAUCGGAUUUACUGGGCGUAAAGUGUGCGUAGGCGGCUAAUUGAGUCGGAUGUGAAAUCCCCGAGCUUAACUUGGGAAUUGCAUUCGAUACUGGUUAGCUAGAGUGUGGGAGAGGAUGGUAGAAUUCCAGGUGUAGCGGUGAAAUGCGUAGAGAUCUGGAGGAAUACCGAUGGCGAAGGCAGCCAUCUGGCCUAACACUGACGCUGAGGUACGAAAGCAUGGGGANCAAACAGG
rnacentral:rRNA from 1 species